rnacentral:misc_RNA from 1 species
UAGAGUAUCAAUAGAAAAGGAGUCCACAUUAGCAAUAUAAAACCGGUCCCAAACCUACUCUAUGUACACCCCUUGUUGCAAUUGUAUCUCCUCUUGCAAGUGCUGCAUUUGUUGCUAUUUUGAUCAUUCCUUUAUCCACUUACUAUCGUAAGAAGAGAAAAGACACGUUCCAGGCUCCAAGUUCCCUAGUCAUUCACCGAAGAGAUCCAUCUGAUUCAGAUAA